rnacentral:rRNA from 1 species
GACGAACGCUGGCGGCGUGCUUAACACAUGCAAGUCGAACGGUGAAGCGCUUGCCUUUUUGGUGGGUGUGGAUGAGUGGCGAACGGGUGAGUAACACGUGAGUAACCUGCCCUCUUCUUCUGGAUAACCUCAUGAAAGUGGGGCUAAUACGGGGUAUUCCGGGCCUGUCGCAUGGCGGGUUUGGGAAAGAUUGUGCCUUUGGGUGUUUUCGGUGGGGGAUGGGCUCGCGGCCUAUCAGCUUGUUGGUGGGGUGAUGGCCUACCAAGGCGGUGACGGGUAGCCGGCCUGAGAGGGUGGACGGCCACACUGGGACUGAGACACGGCCCAGACUCCUGCGGGAGGCAGCAGUGGGGAAUAUUGCACAAUGGGCGCAAGCCUGAUGCAGCGACGCCGCGUGAGGGAUGGAGGCCUUCGGGUUGUGAACCUCUUUCGCCAGUGAAGCAGGCCUGCUCCUGUGUGGGUGGGUUGACGGUAGCUGGAUAAGAAGCGCCGGCUAACUACGUG